UCUGUCAAUGGGGGAUAGAUUUACUCAACACCAUGUGACCAUCAAACCACAACUGACAACUUGGCAUGGAAAAAUGUGUCUAUCAACCUCACUUCAAGGCAGCCGAUAUGGGACCACCAGAACUCUAUGAUCCAUCAGCUCUACUCAACACUCCAAAGGAUAAACAACUGACUGUGUUGUGAAGUCUGACACUAUUUUGGGAGAAAUGUUAUUGUAAGUUAGGCUAUAUGGAUCUCCUUCAGCCACCAACUCCUAAUAAAAGAUUCAGAAAUGGACAACAAAUAAAUGACUAAAUUCCCUAA